rnacentral:rRNA from 1 species
CAGUCGCCACGGGAAUACGGAGGGUGCAAGCGUUAAUCGGAAUUACUGGGCGUAAAGCGUGCGUAGGCGGUUCGUUAAGUCUGUUGUGAAAGCCCCGGGCUCAACCUGGGAAUGGCAAUGGAUACUGGCGAGCUAGAGUGUGUCAGAGGAUGGUGGAAUUCCCGGUGUAGCGGUGAAAUGCGUAGAGAUCGGGAGGAACAUCAGUGACGAAGGCGGCCAUCUGGGACAACACUGACGCUGAGGCACGAAAGCGUGGGGAGCAAACAGGAUUAGAUACCCGCGUAGUCCCUGUCUCUUAUAC